CAGAGGGUGCGAGCGUUAAUCGGAAUUACUGGGCGUAAAGCGUGCGUAGACGGUUAUUUAAGUCGGGUGUGAAAGCCCCGGGCUCAACCUGGGAAUUGCAUUCGAGACUGAAUAGCUAGGGUACGGUAGAGGGAAGUGGAAUUUCCGGUGUAGCGGUGAAAUGCGUAGAUAUCGGAAGGAACAUCAGUGGCGAAGGCGACUUCCUGGACCAGUACCGACGUUCAGGCACGAAAGCGUGGGGAGCAAACAGGAUUAGAUACCCUGGUAGUCCACGCCAUAAACGAUGAGGACUAGACGUUGGAGGGGUAAGCCUUUCAGUGUCGUAGCUAACGCGCUAAGUCCUCCGCCUGGGGAGUACGGCCGCAAGGUUG
rnacentral:rRNA from 1 species